CGACUAUUUCAAUAUUUUCAAAGCAUCAUUUAGAUAUUACAUUAUCACUAAGUCAAAAAAGUAAUUACCAAAUAGGGCCUCCUUUAUUAAGCGUCUAACACUACUCCCAAACAAUUAAAAAAACUCAAAAAAUUGAAUCUGAUGAUGAACCCCCACGUACAUUAUAAUUAAAUUGUUUUGUACAAAUUAUAUACUUUAAAUAUGUAGAAUAUUACAAUAAUCAGUAUAUGUAGAAUAUUACAGAUUGAUUAAUUGCUUUAAUAUUUAGGUAUUCUAUUUAAGUAAUAAAAAGAAGAGAAUAUUUAAGGGGACCCUAAAAAUUUUUGAGCCUAAAGCCCGGACACCUUGGGCUUUAGUCCAGGGCCAGUACUGCGUGCAUGGCUACUUGAUAAAAGAGAACAAAAUGAAGUUAGCCAAAGCUCAAAAGUACAAACUGAAAGGUUAGAAAGCAAAUCAACCUACUUAAUCAUCAUAUGCUAAAUUAUAGUCAGUCAGUCGGUCGGUCCUUGACAAAGACCACCCCCAUAGUUCAUCACUUCUUAUGUGACAAACUGACAAUAGAUCGAGAGCAAGCAGUAAAGUUUCCUUCCACAGAAGCCAAGCCAUAAUAUGCGUUCAUUAUCCAAACGCACGUCAGUCAGCUUUUAGGAGUCUUAUUGACUGAUGGGGCUAAGCUAAGGUCGUCUUGCUCGCAUAAAUGAAACCACACAUCCCACCCCAUCCAAAU
rnacentral:lncRNA from 1 species